ACAUGCUUACAGCAUAGCAUUAAUGCACCGGAACCCAUUAGAAAUCCAUAGCUAAGUGUGCUCGUGCUAGAUUAUUACUAGCAUGGGUGAUUGCUUGGGAAUUCCUAGUAGUUUAUAUGUC
rnacentral:rRNA from 1 species